rnacentral:tRNA from 1 species
GCCCGGGUGGUGGAACAGGUAGACACGUUGGACUUAAAAUCCAAUGGCCCAUACUACGGCCGUGCGGGUUCAAGUCCCGCCCCGGGUACCA